rnacentral:lncRNA from 1 species
CCGCAAAUAACAAAGUAAAAAAAAUGGAGGCAAUAUUGAGUCACUUAUCUUCUUGCAAAUCGUCAAAUUCUUAUUUUUCAAAAAUAAUAAAAUAAGAUGAAAAAAGGAUGAUCAGAAACAAAGGUUACAAUGUCAAAUUUUGCCGAGGUCAAAUGUUUAUUCAAAAAUAACAUUUUGAUGUCUCCUUUCUAGAUGUUUGUGCACGUACUGCUUGAAAAUCCACACCCUCCACUUUCCCAAAAUAAAGGAUCUUCCCCAACAAACAAUGUCACUUCCCUCAGUAAAAAGUAAAUCUUUACAUUGGGGCAGAUUAGCCUGACCAAAAGUUGUCCUCGCUUGCGCUAGUAGGGCGAUCCCUAAAUCCAUUGAGACAAAAAAAAACAAAAAGAAGAAGCAUUCCACUAGAUUGAAAACCUGAAAGGGCGGUCUAGAAAAGGAAAAGCAAAACAAAAAAAAAAUGAUUUAUGUUGAAGUCAUCUAGUCACAAAGUUAAUGUUUUGAAAAUAGAGCAAUCAGAGUUCAAAAUGAUGUGUGACCUUCUUGUCUUUACCUAAAAACAAAAAAAUAUAUCCAUUGUCACCCCGUUUGAGCCAAAAAUAAUUUCUUUUUCAAAAUUAUCCCCACGCAAGGGUUAUCAUCA